rnacentral:rRNA from 1 species
AGCUCCGGCUAACUACGUGCCAGCAGCCGCGGUAAUACGUAGGGAGCGAGCGUUAUCCGGAAUUAUUGGGCGUAAAGAGUGCGUAGGCGGUUUACUAAGUCUGAUGUGAAAGCCCCCGGCUUAACCGGGGAGGGUCAUUGGAAACUGGUAAACUUGAGUACAGUAGAGGCAAGUGGAAUUCCAUGUGUAGCGGUAAAAUGCGUAGAUAUAUGGAGGAACACCAGUGGCGAAGGCGGCUUGCUGGGCUGGAACUGACGCUGAGGCACGAAAGCGUGGGGAGCAAACAGGAUUAGAUACCCUGGUAGUCCACGCCGUAAACGAUGGGCACUAAGUGUUGGCAGAGAUGUCAGUGCUGUAGUUAACGCAUUAAGUGCCCCGCCUGGGGAGUACGGUCGCAAGACUGAAACUCAAAUGAAUUGACGG